UACGGGGGGGGGCAAGCGUUUGUUCGGAAUUACUGGGCGUAAAGGGCCAGUAGGCGGCCAACUAAGUCCGACGUGAAAUCCCAAGGCUUAACCUUGGAACUGCGUCGGAUACUGGAUGGCUUGAAUUCGGGAGAGGGAUGCAGAAUUCCAGGUGUAGCGGUGAAAUGCGUAGAUAUCUGGAGGAAUACCGGUGGCGAAGGCGGCAUCCUGGACCGACAUUGACGCUGAACGGCGAAAGCUAGGGGAGCAAACGGGG
rnacentral:rRNA from 1 species